CCCAACCCGGGGCUGGGUGCCCGGCCGCUCUCGCCAGGCCAGCAGCUGCCCUGCGGCGGCCCUGUCCGGCCUCUGGAGAGAGUCCCAGGGUCACCCGGCCAGGUCCGGUCUGCAAUAAAACGUUUUCUCAUCAUGCAGAAGCUACACAAAAGAGUCUGGUUUUCACCGGCUGCCAUAAAUUACCCAGAAGGAUACAUGCUUGACCUUGCCUGAGAUCCUGAGUUUGAGCCCUGGCCUGACAGGGGAACACCAUGAACAGCAGGGGGAGCUCCAUGCAUGGUGGAGUGGUGUUGUGGUAUCUGCUUCCUCCAUCAAUCCUCCUCUCCUGAUCCUCUCUCUCAAAGAAGGGAUGAAGCAGUUGGCCUGGGGAGACUGCUUGGAGGUGGUGUUACCUGCAUGUGGAAGAUUGUUCCAGCCACCAGGUUCCACAUGCCAGCAUGAUGCCGACCAGACUUCCCCGCACAGACGAACCCACCAAUGUGUCCUGGAGCUCUGCUUCCCCAGAGAUCCACCCUACUAGGGAAAGAGAGA